rnacentral:lncRNA from 1 species
UACCAUCGUAUCAUCUUUAUAUUCUGGAGAUUGCUUCAAUAUGAGAAAGACAAGCAACAAAUAAAUACAGAUGCUGGCCAGUAAGUUGAGCAGAAAUUAACUACUACAUCACUACAGAACACCUCUAACUCAAGACAUUUCACUUAGUCAUACUGAUCUACAUUCAUUCCAAAGCUGGCAAUGAACAGAACAACAUAAAUUGAGAAAAAUGGCCUCAGGCAGAGGAUAUAGCAAUUUAGAGAAGAAUAGGAGACAAACAUGAAUUGAAGCUUCUGAGAUGCUCAAGCUCAUUUCUUCUUACCUUUUCACACAUCACACUUUAGGAAACAGUUGCCUCCAUUCAAAGCUUAAAGAUAGGGACAACACUUAAGCAUAGAUGAUUUAAAAAUAAGCAAAAAAGCAUACGCAAAAGGCAGACUAAGGAAGGAGAAACUAAGGAACAAGUUCGGAAUAUUUUCGAGAAGCCUAUUUUAACAGGGAAACUUUAAAAUUCUACUGAAGGAUAUAAGAAGACUUGAUUAAAUGGAAAGACACAUCUUGUCACUAGAUAAAAGGACUGAAUAAGAUGCAAUUCUUGAUUCCCUAUAAAUUUAUCUAUAAAUUCAAACAAACUCCAAUCAAAAUAUCCGUAGACUUUGGGGAGGGAGCCUGAAAAAAAAAAAAUACUGCAGCACAUCUGGAAAAAUAAAUAGGUGAAAAUAUCCAAAAAAAUCUGAAAAAUAAUUUUUUUAAGGUUCUUUUCUUACCAGAUAAUAAAAUGUAUAUCAGAGAUUUGUUUGAAAAGAUUUAUGCUGGCACAAGAAUAACCAUUUUGAACAAAACAGGCAAGGAGUAGGCCCAAAGACAUGAGGCAAUGAAUUAUAUAAUAAAAGUGAAAAAAAAAUAAAAGUGGCAAAUAAUUACAUUGGAUAUUUAAUAUCCAAUUAAUGGUGUUUUUUUUUUUUAAAAUUAUUUAUUUGAGAGAGAGAGAGAGAGGUGCACAAGCAAGCAGGGAGAGGGGCAAAGGGAAAGACCUCUUUCAAGCACACCAGGCCCUGGGCUCAGGGCCUGAGGCUGGGCUUAAUCCCAAUACCCAUGAGCUCAUGACCUGAGCAGAAACCAAGAGUCAGACACUUAACUGAUUUGAGCCACCCAGACAUCCCUCAAUAAAUGGUGUUGAAACAACUGGUGAGUUGUGUUGAGAGAAAAAAAAAGUGGUAGAGCUACCUCAAUAUUUUCAUCAAAAUUAUUCCAGAAGGGUUAAAGCAUUAAAUGAAACUAUAAGAGUCCUGUAAGAAAAUAUGAGCAAUUUUCAAAAAUGAUCUUGAUGUGGACAGGUCUUUGUAAGCCAAAUACCCAAAAUCUAUUAUGGGAGAAAAAAAGGAUAAAUGUGACUGUAUUAACAUAAAAAUUCUGCAGGGACAAAGAAUGAAAAAAAAUCAAAAGAGAAAAUGUUUCAACAUACACAACAUUUUUCUUUAAUUCAAAGACAGUGAUUAUCAUUACUAAUCAAUUAGAAAAAGAUGUUCCUAACCUAAAUGCCCAUGAUAAGAAGCUGAUGCAAAAAUUAUGGUAUAUCCAUUUCAUAUAUGUUAAAACAAAGUAUACUAAAUGAAAAGUGAUAGUGAUAGAAUAGUAGUUACAUUAAUAAAGCUAUAGACAUUUUCAGGUAAAGUGUGGUUAUCUUUGAAGGCAGAAUUGUUUUAAAAUAAUUUUUAGGCUUUUCAGUAUAUUUUCCAAAUUUUCUAUAAUGAAUAUAUUUUAUAAUCAGAAUAUAUAAUAAAACAGUGAUAAAGUGACAAUUUUCAGUGAAGCAUAGUGCAAAGAAAAUAUACUUCAUCACCUUAGCUUACAUAACUCAUGAGCACAAGUGAGUAAACCACUUGCAAACAGUAACUUUUAUCAGCACUACAAGAGAAAAACAGCUUCAUUAUGUUUAAUUUUUUCUUUAUAAAUCCAUGUGUCACGCAAAAAUUUUAAAAAGUAAUCCAGGAGACUUCAUAUUAAUGUGUUUUUGAAAAUUCUUAACUCUAGGCUACUUUAUUCAAAUGAUAAAAUUUUGUAAGGUACCAUACCACAACAAAUCACAUUUUUACAGCACCAUAAUGAAGGCACA